AGAUUGAACGCUGGCGGCAGGCCUAACACAUGCAAGUCGAGCGGUAGAGAGGUGCUUGCACCUCUUGAGAGCGGCGGACGGGUGAGUAAUGCCUAGGAAUCUGCCUAGUGGUGGGGGGAUAACGUUCGGAAACGGACGCUAAUACCGCAUACGUCCUACGGGAGAAAGCGGGGGACCCUUCGGGCCUCGCGCCAUUGAUGAGCCUAGGUCGGAUUAGCUAGUUGGUGAGGUAAUGGCUCACCAAGGCGACGAUCCGUAACUGGUCUGAGAGGAUGAUCAGUCACACUGGAACUGAGACACGGUCCAGACUCCUAGGGAGGCAGCAGUGGGAAUAUUGGACAAGUGGGACGAAAGCCUAGAAUCCGAGCCCAGUUCGGACCGCGUUGGU
rnacentral:rRNA from 1 species